rnacentral:lncRNA from 1 species
UUCUGAACUAUUUUUUCAAUAAAAUGUAAAAUAAAUAAAGGGCCACAAACAGCAAAAACUAAAAUUCACAAUCCAAAAAUAAAAUUGAAAAAGAUGUCAAAAGACGAUUUUACCCCUAUUCUUUCUCCUAGAAGAACAUAACAUUCCAAUCCAAAUUCCCACUCCACACUUUUUAACCCUUGAAUUCAGGCAAGACAAGGAGGAGACCCGGAACCCUGGGAGAGGAAAAGGGUCAGAAAAAGUAUAGAAAAUGUCCAAGACGACAUCGUCGUCGGUGGUGGUGCGGCCCGAAGAUUAUGCCCACAGUCCGGUCCACUACGCCGUGGCGGUUGGCGAUCACAGCACCCUUAAUAAACUGCUUUCCUCUUUGCCCCGACUCGUUGAUCCGAACCGAAUACGGACAGAGUCUGACUCCCAAGCCCAAGAAUGUCUCGCCGAAAAAAUAUCCGCCGUCGUCGACCGCCGCGACAACAGUCUAAGGGAAACUCCAAUCCAUCUCGCUGUUCGUCUUAAUGACGCCACCGCCGCUCGCUGGCUUGCUGCUGCGGGGGCCGAUGUCUCCCUUCAGAACGCCGCAGGAUGGAACCCCCUUCAGGAAGCUCUACUUCGCCGCUGCCCGGAGAUUGUAUCUACCCUCGUUCAGCAUCAUCACCUUUCCUCCUGGUCCAAGUGGCGCCGCCGCCUUCCUCGUUUAGUUGCUGCCCUCCGCCGCAUGCGCGACUUCUACAUGGAGAUCUCCUUCCAUUUUGAGAGUUCCAUCGUGCCAUUCGUCGGAAAAAUAGCCCCCUCCGACACUUACAAAAUCUGGAAACACGAUGGCAACCUCCGAGCGGACACAUCUCUCGCCGGUUACGACGGUCUCAAAAUCCAACGUGCCAAUCAAAGUUUCCUCUUCCUCAACGACAUUGAUAGCACUCUCGAAAUCCCCGCUGGAUCCCUUCUCGUCCUUAAUCACGACGACAAAAAAAUCUUCGACGCAUUUGAAAAUGGGGGAAGCCCAUUAUCUGAUUCCGACAUUUCAAGCUUCUGUAAUCAGACCAGCGUUUACAGGCCUGGAAUGGAUGUCACGAAAGCAGAGUUAGUGGGCCGUACUAAUUGGAGACGACAGGAAAAAACAGAAAGUGUAGGGCAGUGGAAAGCGAAGGUUUACGAAAUGCACAAUAUUAUCUUUACUUUCCGGUCACGUAAAAUUAAUGCCGGAGAUAAUAGAGAAGAUCCAUUUGGGACCAACUACGUCUUGCCGUUAGAAAUUGACGAAGAGUCCGAUGAAGGGUUUAUAGUCGCUGAGAAUCCAAGAUUUAGCGUGUCUAAUGACAGGCAACGGAGGCACAGCAAUUUUGUGAGGGAGGAUAGGGAACGGAGGCACAGCAGUUUUGUGAGGGAGGAUAGGGAGUUCGUGACGGUGUCUAGGAAGAGUGUGGAUAUAAUUCCGGUGGAUGGGAGGAGAAGGGCACCGGAGAGACUAGUUGCGCCGCCGCUGACGAAAGAGAAGGAAUACGUGAAGAGCCUGCGACCAAUGGUUUGGUUAACGGAACACUUUCCAUUGAAAACGGAAGAGUUGCUGCCGUUACUUGAUAUCUUGGCAAAUAAAGUAAAGGCCGUUAGACGCAUGAGGGAGCUGUUAACGACGACGUUUCCUCUCGGGACAUUUCCGGUAAAGGUAAAGGACGAAUUUGUCAUAGACCAACUGUUUCUGAUUCAGUGAAAGCUUUACUUUGAAUUGAUUUGCUUUGCUUCAAUUUAAUUCCUUCUUUUGAUGCAUAACCAAUGUCUCUCUCUUUUAGCAACCAAGACCGUAUGAUUUGACGUGGAAGUAUCCUAUUGGUCUUUUUGUGGGCCCUUAAAAUACAAGCUUUAGGUAUAAAAAUAUGGAAAAAAAACCAUUUGUCCUAGGUGUGGGCGAAGGGGCCCCACGUCCAAUAAAUGCUUUUGGCUGACCUCCCAUGUGAGGGGGCGUGUACCCGGAGUGUACAUCUUGUAUACGUGUGGUCGAACCCUAAAAUUAUCGUGUAGUAUCUACUUUUAAUUAUUUGCAUAUGGGAAGUGUCGGGCUGGAUAGGCAGGGCUCCGAAUUGGCUCCCCCUUAAUGCUAUUUAAUAUUGUCAGUGUUUAAUAUCAGUCUAGAUGACGCAGCACACUCGACCUUAAAUUACAUGGUCAAUUAAAUACGAGGAAUUAUGAUCCAUUUAAUAUGAUUUAUGAUAUGCUGAAAUCUAGAUUGGUAUUUAACAUGAGCAUUAUUCUUGAUUUAGAGUCUUAAAAAUAGAAUUGUUUUGACUUGAUUUUAAUCAGACAGCUGAAUUAUGAUUCAGGUGGCAAUCCCUGUGGUUCCUACGGUGAGGGUGGUGAUAACUUUUACGAAGUUUGUUGAGUUGCAACCAAUUGAAAAUUUUUACACUCCACUGUCAAGUCCUAGGCAAUUUGGUGCAAGAGGAGGCAAUGAAGAGGAAAGUACGAGUAAGGAAAGUAGUUAUUCUUUGUUUUCAUCGUCCUGGUUAUCGAGCAGCAGCCGCUCGAGCAAUGGCGAUCGUGGCGGUGAGCUAUUGGAUCCAUUUACGAUACCAAGUGGAUAUGGUUGGAGUAGUUUUGAUGAGAAGAAUAGGAAAAUGAAGAAAACCAAGUCUACCAGAAAGAAAAACUAAUUCAAUGUUGUUUUACAGAUUAGAUUAUAAAUGAAUGUUGAUUAAUUGGGUAGAUAACAAUCUUAAAUUUUGAAGCAAAUUCUCCAACCGGGGAUUGAAAUGAAAAGUUACAUUAAUUAAUUUUUUGUUAUAUUAAAAUAUG